AGUUGCAACAUCUAUUGAGGACUAGACUAUGUGCAUGUCACGCUAACGGACAAAUUAAUGCCCAACAAUAAUUAUUAACAAUUCAAUCGUCUGAAAAAUCAUACAUCCUGUAUUUAGCAAAGUAGCUGGCUUAUAGUGUGUUCUUUCUACUCGUACAGUUGCCCUGCAAAUUUAACUCUUACUUUGCUCCCACCCCUCCUCUCUUCCAUGCAAGGGCAUACACUGAUGAUAUGAUCAUAAUUAAUUGAUGAGCACAGACUCAAAUGCGUGGUGGGUAGCCAAGACUACAUAAACAAAACAAAAUCGUGGGUGGUAGACGUGCAGCACUGAUCUCACGUGAACCUUGUGAUAGACAGCUGCCUGCAUGAGAGUCUCUGCACACAGCUGCGUGCACCUUAACUGUACGAAGGCGCCAGGCCUACUCUAGCUCUGUACUGUGCUCUGGUACUACAUGGACUAAGUUGCUAGAUGUACUACACUGCAAGAUGGCACACUGCUUUGACUCGGAACUAUAGAGUACUCUUUUCAUGCAGGGUUCAUGGAGUCGAGCUAUUUAAACGAGGUUAAAGAAUAUGCGUUGCAAAUUGAGAUUCAACAUCUGUCCAAAGAUAAACCACUGCUCUUUAAAAGGAAUAGUCCAAAAACAAAGCGUAACAAAGGUGCUAUCAGGAGUGAUAUGAUCGACCAGCAGUUACAGAUGUGCGUAUAAUUAUACUUACCUUCUAUCCACCACUGACCGAUUAUGUCUAUGAAAAGAUACCUAUAGAUUUACUUUUGAGGAAAAUUGGAAAGAAUUCGAACAAAGGAGAACAAUGUUAAGCUACAGGAGCUGGUCGAAGACUAUGCAGUCACUGGUGCAGUCACAAUCUAAUGUUCUGAAGAUAAUACUGUAAGAAGAAGGAUGCAGUACAAAUGAUAUUUGUCAAGCUGCUGCUCCACGUGGAUGACAUGCAACGUUCGUUCAAGGUAGAAAAAGUGCUAUUGAAUCUGGAUCAAUGAACUACUUCGUCAUCGUAGAGAAAGAAGUGUAUGAAGUAGAUUCAUUCUAUGAAACUCUUGUACUAUGUUUUUGACAUUUUAGUACCCACGUGCAUGUCUGCAUGGCACCCUUUUAUUUUUUAUUUUUAAGGUCCCGAACUGCCUAAGCGUAUUGUGGUCGUAUAGUUAUUAAACACUUUAUGAGGUUAUAGGUAUACAUAUCUUCAUACUUUUAUUGUAUGCUAUCGUGAUGCAUAUCAUUAUACACAUGCUAUAAUUAUGUUACGUCAUUUAAGUCAAGUGCAUGAGCUUAUCGAGAAGUGCAAUAAGCAUGCAUGCAAUAUUUUAUGCUUUGCAUGAAGAGUAGCAAU